ensembl:lncRNA
AUGUUGAAAGGGUCAGAGCCGACCGUACCAGUGUCCCGGGUGGCGACCAAAACCCAGAGAUGUGGAGUUGCCAGACGUCGUAUCACAUCGCGAUUUAAGACUUUUAUGUUUUCACACCCAAGCAAGCCUGGGCAGUUGACCCAUCCUGCCCCCAAGCCCCCUACCCUUCAUAAUGAGAAGAAAUAUUUACUUUCACUCCACGGCUCAGGGAGUACCUAAGCUUUGGCAGCGGCCUUGUAAUGGGUCAGAGUGCGGGCGGAAGGCGCUAGUCCACCUGGGCAUCCAGUAAUGAGGCAGCCAGUCGGCGCAGCUCGGGUAGUGGCGUUCAAAGAUCUGACGGUAGUAAUAGCCUUCUUUCGUUUUGGGAGUACUGACAGGAAGUUUUGGGCUGCACUUGCCAUCGCUGCAUCAUCAACCUGAUGGUCAAUGUAUUCCUGUAAAAUCCUAAACCAGGAAUUCUUAACUGAGGUUAUUCCAUCACUGAAGGCUUCUUUUGGUCACCAGAGGAUCUCUUUAGGUAUCAGACUGGAGUCCUCAAACGUCUCUCUCAGGAGAUGUUUUUCUAUCCCGUUCUCGGGGAUUCCCAUAUCUGGUGGCAGAGACAAGUAACAGGAAGAAAAUCGAUGAUCCAGGAAGGGGACUCUCAGUUCAAGGCCAUGGGCAGCAGUAGUUCGAUCUGCUAAGAGAACAUCAAACAAAUAGAGUCCCUUCAAAUAGAAGCCGCUCACUCUCCUCCUCGGAUAUGUAACCCUGUGUAAGUUCAUCUGGACCUUCUCCAGAGAAGAUCACCACGCUAUCCGUGUUCUUCCGAAUGUACUUCGAAAUUAAGUACAUACCUACUGAAGCACGGACUGUUGUAAUACCAUAAUAUCAAGGAAAUGGCAAGGAAAUGUAGUAUUUCCUUAAUGUAAUAUCAAGGAAAAUAGGACUUCAUCCAGGACCUGAAUGCCUUCCUCAGAGUUAAAGAGGACUUCAUGGUGUUCGCUCGCAAUGAUUUGCCACCUUUCUAGCAGCUAGUAAAUCGGGACUGUCUUCCAUGCCAAUCGCAAAUGUCUGGAGAGGAUACUGUACUUGGGCCUCUUUUAGCUGCUUCUACAGGAUGGCAGCAACCAAACUGGAAACCAAGCCACCUGAUAAAAGGCAGCCAAUCCUUCUGUCCAUUAUCAAAUGUUUCUUAAUGGCAUUGUCAAAAAGGAUUCGUAGGUUGUUCUUCACAGUUUCUAUCUCAAAACCUGGGAAGAGUUUCUCCACGCUGUCACACAGGCCAUGCAGAGGCUCAUCUCUACAGCGAUGAUAGUUAAACAUUUCCACUGAUGCUACUUUGCCAUUUGGCUUUAAAUCGAAAACUUCAUAGUGUCCUGGGAGAAAAGGCUCCACUUUUUAAAAAGGAGUCAUAGAGUGCUUCAAGGUAAUGAGACCUUUAGCUUCUGAACACAUGGCCAAAAGUCCAUCUUCUGUCCCGGCUUUAAACAAAGGUCUGACUCCAUAGGUAUCUCUGCACAAGAACACUUUCUUAUUGACAGUAUCCAGUAAAAUAAAUGCAAAUACCCCAUACAAACUGUUUGCUCAAUUCCUCAUUUGUCAUAAAGAUGAAAGAUUAUCUCACCAUCCACUUUGGUCUGGUAUUCAAAUUCAAAAUGGUGUUGCAGCUCCUUGUGGCUGUAGAUUUCACUGUUGUAACAGAGCCACAAGUAAGGAUAUUACUUCACUCAAAUUGGCUGCAUUCCAAACAGCUGAUCAACCACCGCAAACCAGUGAAAUCCAAAGCAGCAGUUGGUGUAUCCACUGACAUUCUCAAAAAGAAAUGCAUCUGGACCUCUGUGCGCAAUCUUCAUAGCACUCAGACACUGAACAGAAAGGCAGUCAUCGCUGCCAAAGAGGGCCCAAAUGCCACACAUGGUGCAAUGGAGCUACGGGCUCUCUCCAAGUGACUUAUUCAAAUACGAUCACAGAAAUUCUGGGAUCCAGUAGGGUGGGCGGGUGUAAGGUGAGCAGGCUGCGACUUGCGGGCUCUGCACACUUUAAAUGGAUUAAUUUUAUGGUAUGUGAAUUACAUCUCAAUAAAGCUGUUUUAU